rnacentral:misc_RNA from 1 species
GAUGAAGAACGUAGCGAAAUGCGAUAAGUAGUGUGAAUUGCAGACUUUAGUGAAUCAUCGAAUCUUUGAACGCACAUUGCGCCCCUUGGUAUUCCGAGGGGCAUGCCUGUUCGAGCGUCAUUAUAACCCCUCAAGCUCAGCUUGGUGUUGGGGCCUGCUGCACUGGCAGCCCUUAAAAUCAGUGGCGGCGCCAUCUGGCUCUAAGCGUAGUAAUUCUUCUCGCUAUGGAGUCCUGGUGGAUGCUUGCCAUCAACCCCCAAUUUUUCUAUGGUUGACCUCGGAUCAGGUAGGGAUACCCGCUGAACUUAAGCAUAUCAUAAGCGAGGA